UACGGAGGGUGCAAGCGUUAUCCGGAUUCACUGGGUUUAAAGGGUGCGUAGAUGGGGCGGUAAGUCAGUGGUGAAAUCUCCGAGCUUAACUUGGAAACUGCCAUUGAUACUAUCACUCUUGAAUAUUGUGGAGUCAGCGGAAUAUGUCAUGUAGCGGUGAAAUGCUUAGAUAUGACAUAGAACACCAAUUGCGAAGGCAGCUGGCUACGCAUAUAUUGACACUGAGGCACGAAAGCGUGGGGAUCAAACAGG
rnacentral:rRNA from 1 species